rnacentral:rRNA from 1 species
CGGUAAUCUCUAGCUCCAAUAGCAUAUACUAACGUUGUUGCAGUUAAAAAGCUCGUAGUUGGAUUUCCGGGCGGUGACGUUUAGGUGAAGCCUCGUUGCUACACUGAGCGUUCAUUGCUCAAAAUUUGCCACAACUCGUUAUGACUCGUUCAUUCGGAUCAGGCGACUAAUGACUCGUUUACUUUGAGAAAAUUAGAGUGUUCAAAGCAGGCAAUUGCCUUGAAUAUGUUAGCAUGGAAUAAUAACAUAGGACUUCAGUUCUAUUUGUUGGUUGUUCGAGAAUUGGAGUAAUGAUUGAUAGGGACGGUUGGGGGCAUCCGUAUUCCCAAGCGAGAGGUGAAAUUCUUGGACCUUGGGAAGACGAACAGAUGCGAAAGCGUUUGCCAAGGACGUUCUCUUUAAUCAAGAACGAAAGUUGGGGGAUCGAAGACGAUCAGAUACCGUCGUAGUCUCAACUAUAAACUAUGCCAGCUAGGGAUCGGCGGGAUCUUGUCACGGAUCCGUCGGCACCUUACGAGAAAUCAAAGCAUUUGGGUUCCGGGGGGAGUAUGGUCGCAAGGCUGAAACUUAAAGGAAUUGACGGAAGGGCACCACCAGGAGUGGAGCCUGUGGCUUAAUUUGACUCAACACGGGAAAACUUACCAGGUCCGGAUAUAGUAAGGAUUGACAGAUUGAGAGCUCUUUCUUGAUUCUAUGGGUGGUGGUGCAUGGCCGUUCUUAGUUGGUGGAGUGAUUUGUCUGGUUAAUUCCGUUAACGAACGAGACCUUAGCCUGCUAACUAGUCGCGGCGAUCUCGAUCGUCGUCGGCUUCUUAGAGGGACUUUGUGGUUCUAAACACAAGGAAGUUUGAGGCAAUAACAGGUCUGUGAUGCCCUUAGAUGUCCUGGGCCGCACGCGUGCUACACUGACGCCUACAGCGAGUACUUCCCAGCUCCGAGAGGCUGCUGGUAAUCAGCAAUAGGCGUCGUGAUGGGGAUAGAUCUUUGGAAUUAUGGAUCUUGAACGAGGAAUGCCUAGUAAGCGCAGGUCAUUAGCCUGCGUUGAUUAAGUCCCUGCCCUUUGUACACACCGCCCGUCGCUCCUACCGAUUUCGAGUGGUCCGGUGAAUCUUUCGGACUGCGCGCAGCUUCGUGCCGUGCCGCGGAAAGUCAGGUAAGUCUUAUCACUUAGAGGAAGGAGAAGUCGUAACAAGGUAACC